rnacentral:rRNA from 1 species
GGUUACUGCUAUCGGUGUUCGUCUAAGCCAUGCGAGUCAUAUGUAGCAAUACAUGGCGUACUGCUCAGUAACACGUGGAUAACCUGCCCUUGGGUCCGGCAUAACCCCGGGAAACUGGGGAUAAUUCCGGAUAACGCACAUAUGCUGGAAUGCUUUAUGCGUGAAAUGGAUUCGUCUGCCCAAGGAUGGGUCUGCGGCCUAUCAGGUAGUAGUGGGUGUAAUGUACCUACUAGCCUACGACGGGUACGGGUUGUGAGAGCAAGAGCCCGGAGAUGGAUUCUGAGACAUGAAUCCAGGCCCUACGGGACGCAGCAGGCGCGAAAACUUUACAAUGCGGGAAACCGUGAUAAGGGGACACCGAGUGCCAGCAUCCUAUGCUGGCUGUCCAGGUGUGUAAACUACACCUGUUAGCAAGGGCCGGGCAAGACCGGUGCCAGCCGCCGCGGUAACACCGGCGGCCCGAGUGGUGAUCGUGAUUAUUGGGUCUAAAGGGUCCGUAGCCGGUUUGGUCAGUCCUCCGGGAAAUCUGACAGCUUAACUGUUAGGCUUUCGGAGGAUACUGCCAGACUUGGAACCGGGAGAGGUAAGAGGUACUACAGGGGUAGGAGUGAAAUCUUGUAAUCCCUGUGGGACCACCUGUGGCGAAGGCGUCUUACCAGAACGGGUUCGACGGUGAGGGACGAAAGCUGGGGGCACGAACCGGAUUAGAUACCCGGGUAGUCCCAGCCGUAAACGAUGCUCGCUAGGUGUCAGGCAUGGCGCGACCGUGUCUGGUGCCGCAGGGAAGCCGUGAAGCGAGCCACCUGGGAAGUACGGCCGCAAGGCUGAAACUUAA